rnacentral:rRNA from 1 species
UUUUAUUGUCCAUGUUGGGAAUUGAAGCAGUAUCAGGGCUGGCAAGUUCUUGGAUAGGAGACUACCUGGAAAUACCAGAUGCUGUAGACU